rnacentral:tRNA from 1 species
GCAUUCGUGGUGUAGCGGUAACAUUGGGUCUUCCCAUGGCCUAGCUCCGGGUUCGACCCCCGGCGGAUGCA